rnacentral:rRNA from 1 species
AGGAUUCCCCUAGUAACGGCGAGUGAAGAGGGAAGAGCCCAAGAUUGAAAGCUGGCGCCUUCGGCGUCCGCAUUGUAAUCUCAAGAAGUGUUUUCCGCUUCGGACCAUGCCUAAGUCCCUUGGAAAAGGGUAUCAUAGAGGGUGAUAAUCCCGUACAUGGCAUGGAGCGCCCGAGGCUUUGCGAUACAUUUUCUAAGAGUCGAGUUGUUUGGGAAUGCAGCUCAAAAUGGGUGGUAAAUGCCAUCUAAGGCUAAAUAUUGGGGAGAGACCGAUAGCGAACAAGUACAGUGAUGGAAAGAUGAAAAGAACUUUGAAAAGAGAGUUAAACAGUACGUGAAAUUGCCAAAAGGGAAGGGUAGGAGGUCAGAUAUGCGUCUUGGGAUUUACGUCUCAGGUUGCAGGCCAACGUCGGUUUUGGGCACUGGAGAAGGGUGAGAGGAACGUGGCACCCCUCGGGGUGUGUUAUAGCCUCUUACUGGAUACAGCGACCGGGACCGAGGACAGCAGCGCACUCGCAAGAGCGGGCCUUCGGGCACCUUUGCGCUUAGGGCGUUGGCAUAAUGGCCCUCUACCACCCGUCUUGAAACACGGACCAAGGAGUCUAACAUGUAUGCGAGUCUUUGGGUGGCAAACCCAUAGGCGCAAUGAAAGUGAAUUCAGGUGGGAUCCGCAAGGUGCACCAUCGACCGAUCCUCACGUCUUUUAAGUCGUGGAUUUGAGUAAGAGCAUACCUGUUGGGACCCGAAAGAUGGUGAACUAUGCCUGAAUAGGGUGAAGCCAGAGGAAACUCUGGUGGAGGCUCGUAGCGGUUCUGACGUGCAAAUCGAUCGUCAAAUUUGGGUAUAGGG